GCUGGGGUAGCUCAGUUGGUUAGAGCACCAGAUUGUGGAUCUGGGGGUCGAGAGUUCAAGUCUCUCCCCCAGUA
rnacentral:tRNA from 1 species